UGGGGAAUAUUGCACAAUGGGGGAAACCCUGAUGCAGCGACGCCGCGUGAGCGAAGAAGGCUUUCGAGUCGUAAAGCUCUGUCCUAUGAGAAGAUAAUGACGGUAUCAUAGGAGGAAGCCCUGGCUAAAUACGUGCCAGCAGCCGCGGUAAUACGUAUGGGGCGAGCGUUGUCCGGAAUUAUUGGGCGUAAAGGGUACGUAGGCGGUUUUUUAAGUCAGGUGUCAAAGCGUGGAGCUUAACUCCAUUAAGCACUUGAAACUGAAAGACUUGAGUGAAGGAGAGGAAAGUGGAAUUCCUAGUGUAGCGGUGAAAUGCGUAGAAAUUAGGAGGAAUACCGGUGGCGAAGGCGACUUUCUGGACUUUUACUGACGCUCAGGUACGAAAGCGUGGGGAGCAAACAGG
rnacentral:rRNA from 1 species